rnacentral:lncRNA from 1 species
GAAAAAAAUAAAAAUAAAAAGACCCUAAGAACUUAAUACAAAAUGAACAUAUACAAACUGAGAGUCAGAGCAAUGGCAAAGACCAAAACAACCCCCCCUCCCACCCCCAACAAACCAAACUCUGAAGGUCUUCUUCUUCAAGACCACCAAAAAUCGGACAAACCCACCUGAAACCAGCGACCCCUACCAGUUCGUCCCCACCACAACCAAACCAACGACCCCUACUUCACCAAAAAACAACCAGCGGCGACACUUCUGAAAGGAGAGCUUCAGCCGCUGUUGUUGUUGGAUUUUGUCACGGUUCCGGCGAGUUUUUGAGGUCUAGAUCGAAUGUCCUGUUUUGAGUUGCCGAGUUUUUUUCUUUUUCAAUUUCGAUAGAGGUCCUUGGUCAACGUCCCAUUUAGACUAUUUUUGGAAAAAAAAUCUUCAUCAAUUGCAAAGGUUCAAUUCCUCCUCUGAUUUAAUCUUUUUGUUUGUUGAAAUGGCUUAUAAAUUUGGUGAUAGAUUCGUAGUUUAUCGUCUAUUUGUUAAGAUGGAAUUACUGGAGUUAUUUCUUAUGUUUGGUUUUUGAUCUUUUGAAUCUAGUUGUGAUUUGGGUUAAUUUGAGUGAUUUUGAUUGUUAAAGCAUAGACUGAGCUAAGAAUAAAGAAAAUUCACUCUUUCCUUCAUUAAAUUUCCGCUCGAAAUAAGUGCACUGUUAGCAUAAACAUUGACUAAUUUGUUAUCAUUGUUAGGUGCAAUCUUGUUUUUUUGUGUAAUUUUUGAAAUUUGCCCACUACUUAGAUUAUUGUACUAUUUUUGAGGUUCAAGAAUUCUUUUUGAUCAGCGGUUAAUGAAUGUGAGUUUGUUGUGACGUGAGCAAUUCGGAAAAUUGGGAAUGCGAAUGGGGAUGUGGUGCAUGCGUUGUUUAUCACUUCUUUAUAAUAGUCGGGGAUGGUUUUCUAGUUUGUUUCUAAAAGAGAUUGCAAUACACAACUCUUCCUUCUGCAUCCAAGAUAAUUUAAAAUGGGAUAAAUUUAUGUUAAAGGAAAGUGAGGAAUAG